UACGUAGGGGGCAAGCGUUAUCCGGAUUUACUGGGUGUAAAGGGAGCGUAUACGGCUGUGCAAGCCAGAUGUGAAAGCCCGGGGCUCAACCCCGGGACUGCAUUUGGAACUGCGUGGCUUGAGUGUCGGAGAGGCAGGCGGAAUUCCUAGUGUAGCGGUGAAAUGCGUAGAUAUUAGGAGGAACACCAGUGGCGAAGGCGGCCUGCUGGACGAUGACUGACGUUGAGGCUCGAAGGCGUGGGGAGCAAACAGG
rnacentral:rRNA from 1 species